CUUUUUCGUAUGUGCCGCCACUUUCCUGCAGUCCAAAUGCAGAGCAGAAAGCGUAGCAUAUAACUCUCUAAAAAAGAGUAAUUUUACAAGGAAUCGAUGAAUAUACAGCAAAUUCUGAACUAUUACUCAAAUAUAUUGUCUCCGUCGCUUUUGUGUGGCAUUGCAGGCGUGGUAACCAUAAGUGUUGUCAGCAAUUUACAUGCAAUUCUUUCUCGCAAGCUGAAAAAUGUCUAUGAUGAAAGAA